AUUGAACGCUGGCGGCAUGCUUUACACAUGCAAGUCGAACGGCAGCAUAGGUGCUUGCACCUGAUGGCGAGUGGCGAACGGGUGAGUAAUAUAUCGGAACAUGUCCGGAAGGGGGGGAUAACAUAGCGAAAGUUACGCUAAUACCGCAUAUGCCCUGAGGGGGAAAGGGGGGGGAUCGCAAGACCUCCCGCUUUCGGAGUGGCCGAUAUCGGAUUAGCUAGCAGGUGAGGUAAAGGCUCACCUAGGCGACGAUCCGUAGCUGGUCUGAGAGGACGACCAGCCACACUGGGACUGAGACACGGCCCAGACGCCUACGGGAGGCAGCAGUGGGGAAUUUUGGACAAUGGGCGAAAGCCUGAUCCAGCCAUGCCGCGUGUCUGAAGAAGGCCUUCGGGUUGUAAAGGACUUUUGUCAGGGAGGAAAUCCCUAGUGCUAAUAACACUGGGGGAUGACAGUACCUGAAGAAUAAGCACCGGCUAACUACGUGCCAGCCGCCGCCGUAA
rnacentral:rRNA from 1 species